UCGGAGCCAUUGGUGCGCUCCACAACACCCAUCCCUAUUCGGCAGUAACACUAUGACAAAAGUAUGAAUGUGUGUGUUAACUUUCAGCCAAUUCUAUUUCGUUUGCUUGUAUUGAUUGGUAUCAUUUUAAAAGAGAUGAUUUCAGUGUUAAUUUCAAUAUAUUGUUACACAACAAGCAAUACAAUUAAACUGUACACAACUAUAAUACAACAUUUGAAGGAAAAGAAAAAGACAUAAGCAUCCUCUCAAAACAUGCGGCAAGGCCGGUUGGGUGUUGGAGUUACAGCACAUUUUUGAUUGAAAAAAAUAUUGAAAGGAUUUUUAAAAUUCUAAUUUUACAAUGAUAUGUUAUAAAACAUUAUUGUGAUCCUAUAAGACAAUUUUCAUUCAAAUCUAACAAGUAAUUCAAAAGAUAUACGCUUUUAACCACGAAAAACAUUGUUCUUCCAUACAAAAUGUAUGGCCUACCCAAUGUAUGGUUUGUGGCGAGAGACUUAAAUAAGCGCACUGUAUUUAGGUAUUUACUAAAAGCUAUUUUUCCUGACGAUCCUUCCCAGCUACACCGUGCAAGAAAAGUCAUUUCAAACAACACGUCUAAAGCCUCAUGCAUCCUGCUGUUGACAUCCUGGCUGCUAAUAUCUGCAUCUAUUAUUUGAGUAUAACUGUAAAAUGCAAAAUUAUUUCCAGCUAUUUUUGCUUCAUAUGUAUCAAACUGUUGUUCAGUUCCGAUUUUUUCCAUUGCUAAACUUUGCGCACUUCUUCUUGUACCGUUCAUAGGAUUCAGUAUUGUGGACUGCUCAUUUAAAAUCACCUAUAUCUGUGCGCUGCGUGCAUCUAUUUUCAUUAACAGCAUCCGACAACGAAGGUAGCAGCUUCCGGAAUGUUUUGUAGAAGUAAUUGAAAGGACUGUUUGAUUUGCUCCUGCUGCAACCUGGUGUUCAUCGUCGGAGAUCAUCAUUAUUGACGACGAAGGCAGCACAGGCAAAUUUUUCACAAAACUACCAGUUGCUCGUUCAGUCGUUAUGUACAAUGUACCGGCGCUUGUCGAUGGCUCUUGGUUACCACCAUCAACUAUCUUGCCUGGCGGUCGGAUUUGGCUAGGAACACCGGUAAAAGAUUGCUCAGAUACAGCAGUACUCUUUGAUGGUUUUUGAAUAUUAACGCUGAUCAUUUUGGCUGGUGUAUGGCUCACAACACAAACAGAUCCUCCAGCAGCCGCUAUCACCGAUGCAGAAGGUGGGUAAAUGUUGUCUUACAACAACGGUCUUCAUACCACGCUGAUUCUUCAGAGCAUGAACUUCGGCAAGCGAUGCUUUCGAUGGUACUGCAGAUCUCGUCAAUGCCUGUUGUCUACCGAUCUUUAUGCUUGAUUUCUGCGGUAGAGCAUCAGCAACUGGUUCCACUGAUGGCGCAGCAGUACUAGUUGACGGUUGCUGUCCAUGUUGCUGGCCUAACGGGCGGAAUAGUGGAGGAACACCAGUUGUCCAACAACACGGACCGGCAAUUUAGGAGGACGGAUGGCACGAGGAAUGGCAACCGGAACCAUCGAUAGCACUGCACUUAUCGUCGGAAGUUGUCCAACAACACGGACUGGGACAUCUGACUGACGAAACGAUUGCUCAUCGGCAAUGGCCGAAGGCAUCACUUAUAACGGAAGUGACACUUGAGACUCUUCCACAACUUCUUCCUUUAAACGAAGACACGUUAAUUUAUCUUGCGUCGACAUGGUGUAACUUCUGCAAAGUGUACGGAAUUGCAAUAAUAUUUUCAAAUUUACUCAAAGGACACUGAACAUACAUUUUUGCUGGAACUGAAGAUUUAUUUUUAGACACUUUUUCACGAGACACUGACACGGUGUAUUAACUUUGGAGUCUGAAGUUGAACUUAAAUCGUAUAGCAAAGUGUUAGCCCUUUUAUACUGCAUUUCGAGCUGCCGAUGCGCAGACUUAUUAAUUAGUGGGAGGAGUCUAAGGACUUGUGGAAGAAGGAAUAGUAUAUAGUGUGAUGUCGAAUAUUGUGCCUGUUGCUUUUAGUAUCGAAUGUCGCCAAGCUACUCAUCACAUACCCGUGUUUUAUGUACCCAUUUUUGGUAUUUCUGGGUUAAUCGCCAUCGUGCUGUAGUCGGAUUAUACUGCACCUGUCCAGCUUCGAUUAUUGCCUCCGCAAAGACAAAAUUAGAGCACGCGUUCCUAUUCCUCAUCCUCCGGGACCGUCUCGAGAAUGUGGCAGUCACUGCUCCAUAAAAACCACCGGACUACCACAAACUGGAAGCAGCGGAACACCCCGUGGGUCAUCGGCCACCAACAUGCAUAUCGGCAGGAACUUGGACCCAUGCUUAAUUGAAGCAAGGUUGAAGUGUCGUGUAUCAGAUCGCAACUCCUAAUAAUUUCGUCGUCUGAGGCGGACGGUUAUGGAGGUACCGAAUCUUCAGUGAUGAUGAAUGCGUUCACGCAUCUUCGAGCCGGUGAUUGGCGGUAUCCAGAUCAUCGUUCUACUGUUAGCUUACCUAAGCUACCGUAAUUAGCGUCAGUGUAAAAUGUAAGAGAAAGACAAAUUGACGAUGAAAGUAAUAUAAUUAAAAUAAAUGGCGGUGCAUGCAUAA